CAUCUGCCAGGUAGCAAGGAGAAGGAAGGCCGCGGAGGUUUGGGAUCGGGCAACUCGGUCGGCCUUCUUCGCCGCUCUGUAAUACCCUACCCGGCGCGCCAAGGACUGACGCCAGAGUAAGGAGCGGAACCCGCAGGAGAAGCGCGGCCUGCGCGAGAAGCCGCCGCGGGGGCCGGCGGGUCGGCGGCCGCAGCGCCGCCGCUCCGACCGGGUACAUGAGACGAAGCGGUGGCGUACCCCCCGGCGCGAGACCCAGUGGAAGUAGCCGCCGUAGCAGUACAAGUUCGUAAACGGUUCCGUGGUCAAGCCCUCAGACGUCCCCUUCUACAAGGGUCGUAUGAAGUACAACUAUAGCCACACAAGUCGAUAUAGCCAACGUCGUAAACGUAUGGAGUUGGGUACCUUCUGUCGUAGUUGACAACUCGCAAUGGUCGAACCAAAGGAAGAACGACGGGAGCCAAAACUGGACAGGUUGGAAGACCAGAAGUGGGGGUACUGAUAGCUCUACUACUACUUCUCCGUGUUCUAGCUCUUCCUAGAACCGUAGCCACCACUCCACCCUGCCAGUUCCUUACGGCUCAACCGUUUCUGUUUGGGACGUGAGCGUCGCUACUUGUUCUUCAAGCCCUACUAGGUGCCCGACAGCAGGGACCGUUUGUAGUACCGUAAGCCGUCGGACCGGUACGUGAGCACCAUGGAUCGCUCGUUCGAACUCAACACUGACAACUUUCAAUUCACUACUCAGGUACAUUACCGGAAAGAAGAGUCGACCACUGUCCUCGAAUAUCAGAUCCGACAGAUGUCGAUUUCUUUCUCAUCACACUUUUGAAACGUAGACUACAACACUGAACCCUAUUAUUACAUGUCUCACGUUCCUCACAGAUCGACAAAUUAUUACACGUCCUCGCGUCUUUGAGACGAUCUUAGUCAAAUAGAAAAUGUCUACUACUAGACGCAUACUUUGCCCACAUUUGACCAUAACCGGUGCUUACCAACUUCUACCACGAUAUCGUUUACUGUAAGGCUUC
rnacentral:rRNA from 1 species